AACGAACGCUGGCGGCGUGCCUAACACAUGCAAGUCGUACGAGAAAUCCCGGGCAACUGGGAGAGUAAAGUGGCGCACGGGUGAGUAACGCGUGGGUAACCUGCCCUUAAAUUGGGGAUAACCUUCCGAAAGGAAGGUUAAUACCGAAUAACAUUCCGAUCUCUUCGGGGAUUGGAAUCAAAGGUGGCCUCUGCAUGCAAGCUACUGUUUAAGGAUGGGCCCGCGUACCAUUAGCUUGUUGGUAGGGUAACGGCCUACCAAGGCAUCGAUGGUUAGCUGGUCUGAGAGGAUGGCCAGCCACACUGGAACUGAGACACGGUCCAGACUCCUACGGGAGGCUG
rnacentral:rRNA from 1 species